rnacentral:lncRNA from 1 species
AAAUAAUACAAUUAUUUAAAAUAAUACAAUUUCACUCCUUUAAAAUAAUACAAAUAUUAAAUGAGUUUCCUUUACUCUUCUGGAUGUGCCAUACCUUUCUUGCUGAAAUUUUGACUCUAUCUGUCCUGUCCUCUCUUGCCCAGAGCCAACUGGUGUUUAUUCAAUUGCUGUUUUUUUUUUUUUCAUCUAGCCCAAGGAAACUCAGGUUUCGAGGGUCCUAUUUAGUGUAUAGUCCAGUAUCAGAUGCUACAACCAUUUCUCAUAAAUAGUUGUGUAGUCUUUAAUUAUAUUUGGUUGCAGGAAUUCAUUGCCUCUUAAGGCAACAGUAUUCAAUCAUUCAAUUCAUUCAGUGAACAUUUUCUCCCUACCAUGGGCUAAAUAUACUGUGUUUGUCUCCUAUAUCAAGAAGCUCCAGCAAGAAGAUUUUAACCUAUUAAAAAAAAACAAUUUGGAUACAAAGUGGUAUGUGUUGUUUCAAAGAUAUUCACAAGUGCUAUGAGAUUAUGGGCAAGCAAUCACCAAGUUCUGUCUUGGGCUGUCAGAAAAAUUUUCCCAGGUAAGGUAGUGUAUAAGAUGCGAUGUGGAGGAGAAGUAAACUUUUUUACUGAGCAAACAAGACAAGCUGGAGGAUGAGAACGAGAGGGGACAAGUGCCUUGACAUUUAAGAGUGCUCAAUGUGUUGGAGUGGUGACAAGUGAGCAUGGCUCACGAGUCCAAGGGUGGCAGGACACGAUUCUUCCUCAUAUGCAUUCCGGAUCUACCAAUACCGCACCUGUGCACAAUGAGGAGUGUUUCACCUGACGACAAGUGUAUAGUCCGUACAGUCCCCUCCCUUCUCCUAAAGCAGCAGCUACCCUUUCAUGGGGUAUAGCACUAUUGCCUCUAUCUUAGAGAUUAGGAAAUUGAGGACUUAGAGAAAGCUCAGUUAGCAAGUGGUGGAGUUAGGAUUCCAACCCAGGUUGUCUGAUCCCAGACUCUGUGUGUGAAGUCACUGUGUCUUUCUGCUGCCUCCCUCCACAUAGAUUCAAG